ACCUGGCUGGCUCAGCUGGUAGAGCAUGAGACUCUUGAUCUCGGGGUUGUGGGUUCAGGCCCCACACUGGGUA
rnacentral:tRNA from 1 species